rnacentral:rRNA from 1 species
AGCGAACGCUGGCGGCAGGCCUAACACAUGCAAGUCGAACGAACCCUUCGGGGUUAGUGGCGGACGGGUGAGUAACACGUGGGAACGUGCCUUUAGGUUCGGAAUAACUCAGGGCAACUUGUGCUAAUACCGAAUGUGCCCUUCGGGGGAAAGAUUUAUCGCCUUUAGAGCGGCCCGCGUCUGAUUAGCUAGUUGGUGAGGUAAUGGCUCACCAAGGCUACGAUCAGUAGCUGGUCUGAGAGGAUGACCAGCCACAUUGGGACUGAGACACGGCCCAAACUCCUACGGGAGGCAGCAGUGGGGAAUUUUGCGCAAUGGGCGAAAGCCUGACGCAGCCAUGCCGCGUGGAUGAUGAAGGUCUUAGGAUUGUAAAAUUCUUUCACCGGGGACGAUAAUGACGGUACCCGGAGAAGAAGCCCCGGCUAACUUCGUGCCAGCCGCCGCAGUAACAC